rnacentral:rRNA from 1 species
AAAAUGACACCGUAACUUCGGGAGAAGGUGUGCCCUCAUUACGUGAAGCACGAACGUGUGGAGCGGACGGGGGUUGCAGAGAAUCGGGGGUAGCGACUGUUUACCAAAAACACAGCACUCUGCGAAGUCGCAAGACCACGUAUAGGGUGUGAUGCCUGCCCGGUGCUGGAAGGUUAAAGAGAGAACUCAGCCGCAAGGCAAAGGUUCGAACUGAAGCCCCAGUAAACGGCGGCCGUAACAAUAACGGUCCUAAGGUAGCGAAAUUCCUUGUCGGGUAAGUUCCGACCUGCACGAAUGGCAUAACGACUUCCCCACUGUCUCGAGCAGGGACUCAGCGAAGUAGCACUAGGGGUGAAGAUACCCUUUACCCACGGCAGGACGGAAAGACCCCGUGAACCUUCACUACAGUUUGACAUUAAUUGACGAAAUGAUUUGCGUAGGAUAGGUGGGAGGCUGCGAAGCAGGGAUUCCGGUCUCUGCAGAGCCAACGUUGAAAUACCACCCUGAUCGUUUUGGCAAUCUAACCUACACCCGUCAGCCGGGUGGGGGACACUGUCUGAUGGGUAGUUUGACUGGGGCGGUCGCCUCCCAAAAAGUAACGGAGGCGCGCGAAGGUCCCCUCAGCCUGAUUGGAAACCAGGCGUCGAGUGUAAAGACAUAAGGGGGCUUGACUGCGAGGCAAACAAGCCGAGCAGGUACGAAAGUAGGUCUUAGUGAUCCGGUGGCUCCACAUGGAAGGGCCAUCGCUCAACGGAUAAAAGGUACUCCGGGGAUAACAGGCUUAUCACGUCCAAGAGUUCACAUCGACGACGUGGUUUGGCACCUCGAUGUCGGCUCAUCGCAUCCUGGGGCUGAAAUCGGUCCCAAGGGUUUAGCUGUUCGCUAAUUAAAGCGGUAUGCGAGCUGGGUUCAGAACGUCGUGAGACAGUUCGGUCCCUAUCCGUCGUGGGCGCAGGAUACUUGAGAGGAGCUGACUUUAGUACGAGAGGACCGAGUUGGACAGACCGCUAGUGUUCCGGUUAUGACGCCAGUCGUAUCGCCGGGUAGCUAUGUCUGGAAGGGAUAACCGCUGAAAGCAUCUAAGCGGGAAGCCCCCCUCGAGAUUAGGUAUCCCGUGCCGUAAGGCACCUAAAGACCCCCGGUAGACUACCGGGUUGAUAGGCUGGGUGUGGAAAUGCAGCAAUGCAUGGAGCUAACCAGUACUAAUCGGUCGUGCGGCUUGACCAC